rfam:Homo sapiens chromosome 12, GRCh38 reference primary assembly.
GCCGGGCGUGGUGGCUCACGCCUGUAGUCCCAGCACUUUGGGAGGCUGAGGCAGGUGGAUCACCUGAGGUCAGGAGAUGGAGACCAGCCUGGCCAACACGGUGAAACCCUGUCUCUA